rnacentral:rRNA from 1 species
UGGGGAAUUUUGGACAAUGGGCGAAAGCCUGAUCCAGCAAUGCCGCGUGUGUGAAGAAGGCCUUCGGGUUGUAAAGCACUUUUGUCCGGAAAGAAAUCCUUGGCUCUAAUACAGUCGGGGGAUGACGGUACCGGAAGAAUAAGCACCGGCUAACUACGUGCCAGCAGCCGCGGUAAUACGUAGGGUGCAAGCGUUAAUCGGAAUUACCGGGCGUAAAGCGUGCGCAGGCGGUUUGCUAAGACCGAUGUGAAAUCCCCGGGCUCAACCUGGGAACUGCAUUGGUGACUGGCAGGCUAGAGUAUGGCAGAGGGGGGUAGAAUUCCACGUNUAGCAGUGAAAUGCGUAGAGAUGUGGAGGAAUACCGAUGGCGAAGGCAGCCCCCUGGGCAAUACUGACGCUCAUGCACGAAAGCGUGGGGAGCAAACAGGAUUAGAUACCCUGGUAGUCCACGCCCUAAACGAUGUCAACUAGUUGUUGGGGGACUUCAUUUUCCUUAGUAACGUAGCUAACGCGUGAAGUUGACCGCCUGGGGAGUACGGUCGCAAGAUUAAAACUCAAAUGAAUUGACGGGGUCAU